CACGUAGGGCGCAAGCGUUGUCCGGAAUUAUUGGGCGUAAAGAGCUCGUAGGCGGUCUGUUGCGUCCGCUGUGAAAACCCGGGGCUUAACCCCUGGCUUGCAGUGGAUACGGACAGACUAGAGGUAGGUAGGGGAGAAUGGAAUUCCCGGUGUAGCGGUGAAAUGCGCAGAUAUCGGGAGGAACACCGGUGGCGAAGGCGGCUCACUGGCCCGGUACUGACGCUGAGGUGCGAAAGCGUGGGGAGCAAACAGG
rnacentral:rRNA from 1 species